rnacentral:rRNA from 1 species
UGGGGAAUAUUGGACAAUGCGGGCAACCGUGAUCCAGCAAUGCCGCGUGAGUGAAGAAGGCCUUAGGGUUGUAAAGCUCUUUUACCCGGGAUGAUAAUGACAGUACCGGGAGAAUAAGCCCCGGCUAACUCCGUGCCAGCAGCCGCGGUAAUACGGAGGGGGCUAGCGUUGUUCGGAAUUACUGGGCGUAAAGCGCGCGUAGGCGGCUUUUCAAGUCAGGGGUGAAAUCCCGGAGCUUAACUCCGGAACUGCCCUUGAAACUGGAUGGCUAGAGUCUUGGAGAGGUGAGUGGAAUUCCGAGUGUAGAGGUGAAAUUCGUAGAUAUUCGGAAGAACACCAGUGGCGAAGGCGACUCACUGGACAAGUACUGACGCUGAGGUGCGAAAGCGUGGGGAGCAAACAGGAUUAGAUACCCCCGUAGUCC